rnacentral:rRNA from 1 species
CCUACGGGGGGCAGCAGUGAGGAAUAUUGGUCAAUGGACGAGAGUCUGAACCAGCCAAGUAGCGUGAAGGAUGACUGCCCUAUGGGUUGUAAACUUCUUUUGUCAGGGAGCAAAGGGCGCCACGUGUGGCGUUUUGCGAGUACCUGAAGAAAAAGCAUCGGCUAACUCCGUGCCAGCAGCCGCGGUAAUACGGAGGAUGCGAGCGUUAUCCGGAUUUAUUGGGUUUAAAGGGUGCGCAGGCGGAAUGUCAAGUCAGCGGUAAAAUUUCGGGGCUCAACCCCGUCGUGCCGUUGAAACUGGCGUUCUUGAGUGAGCGAGAAGUAUGCGGAAUGCGUGGUGUAGCGGUGAAAUGCAUAGAUAUCACGCAGAACCCCGAUUGCGAAGGCAGCUUACUAGACUGUGACUGACAUUGAUGCUCGAAAGUGUGGGUAUCAAACAGGAUUAGAUACCCCAGUAGUC